rnacentral:lncRNA from 1 species
GUCCCCUGAAGUGGGGCGAUGGGGCGGAGCACUCCCCUGCUGGACGCCCUAGCCUGGCCGCUGGCUCUGCGGUUGAACUGAGGCGGCAGGUAUGCGCCUGGGUGGCUGAGGCAGUCUCUGGAGGCGGAGACGCAGGGGUGGAGGGAGAAAGGGGGCCCGUCAAGAGGAAACAGUGAAAGUGUAGAACCUCCAGAAACCCUCCCUAACCUUGGGCCGGCCUUCUCAGAGGUGUAGACUCCUGGAGUCAUCUGCCCAAGAUCGUAAUGACAAUCACUUGAAGAUCCAGAUACUGACAGACAGCCUUUGGCCUUGGCUGGGUGAGGAGUAGGGUCUAAUUGUAUGGUCCAGGCUGAUCCUCCUGCCUCAGCCUCCAGAAAGGUAGGCUGACAGGUGUGAAUCAACCAGUAAGCUCAGAAAACAAACAAAAAACCAAAGGUGUCGAGCACGUGUGUGUGUGUGUGUGUGUGUGUGUGUGUGUGUGUGUGUGUGUGUUGGCUGGCCUUGUCUGCCAUGCCACAGUAGAGGUCUGAGGACAACUUAUGGGAGUCUUCACUAUGGGGGUGGGGGGCUGGGGAGGGGUUGAACUCAAGAUGGGAAGAUGACAGCAAGCCCCCUACAUCAGGAUCAUCUCAAUCAGCUGUCCAACACGUCAGCACAUUUUUGUCAAUACCCAACAUGCGUGCUUAUAACAGUUGUAGGUUUACAUUUUUAGCACAUUGUAGGUUUACAUUUUCUGUCCCCCACUGACCAAGGACCUGCCUCUUAGGCACUUGCCUUCCCAGCUUCCUGCACCCCCACUUUUGCUACAAGUUCAAUAAAGCACUUGUUGAGGCGGAACAGUCUAAGCCUCAAAAAUAACUGGGGAAAGGCCCAGAGACCUAAAAACAUAGGCUGGUUUGGGGAAGAACACGUAGUUCCUGACGGAGGAAGUGCCAAGCUACUAAAACGGCAGGCAGGCAGAGCCGGGUGGUCAAAAGUCAGCCGCCAAUUUAAACAGACCUCACCCGGCUGCCCAGCAGUCCUUGGAAAUGUGGAAGCGGGGGCACUGGAGGGUCAGUGUGAGAAAGAUCAUUCUGGCUGUGUGUGAAUAAUGGAUUAGCAGGGUAAAAUGAGCAGGCUGAUCAGAACACUCGGACUUCGCGCCAGGAGAUCACGAAACGCGUAGCAGCCUGGAGGGAAGAGGUGGGGCUUGGGGACUGAUUGAUUGGGAAGCCCUGUGCAGGGAGCGCGCACAGGGUAGCAGCUAGCUGGAAGGGAGGCUUCGGACCCGAGGCUGAGGGAUGAUAGCAUGGCUUAGGUCUCCUGCUCACCUCAGAGAAAGGGGUUCGUUUAUCUCAAAAUAAACAGGUUUUCAGAAAAACUAAUAUAGUUACACCUGCUUGGCACAUGCCUAUAAUCCCGGCACUUGGGGUGUGGCAGAGGCAGGAUUGCAGGAUCCUCUUUGGCUAC